GACAGAGGGUGCAAACGUUGUUCGGAAUUACUGGGCGUAAAGCGCGUGUAGGCGGCUUUGCAAGUCGGAUGUGAAAGCCCUCGGCUCAACCGGGGAAGUGCACCCGAAACUGCAAAGCUAGAGUCUCGGAGAGGAUCGUGGAAUUCCUGGUGUAGCGGUGAAAUGCGUAGAUAUCAGGAGGAACACCGGUGGCGAAGGCGGCUAUCUGGACAGAAACUGACGCUGAGGCGCGAAAGCUAGGGGAGCAAACAGG
rnacentral:rRNA from 1 species